UGGGGAAUAUUGGACAAUGGGGGAAACCCUGAUCCAGCAAUGCCGCGUGAGUGAAGAAGGCCUUAGGGUUGUAAAGCUCUUUCGCCCGCGAAGAUAAUGACGGUAGCGGGAGAAGAAGCCCCGGCUAACUCCGUGCCAACAGCCGCGGUAAUACGGAGGGGGCUAGCGUUGUUCGGAAUUACUGGGCGUAAAGCGUACGUAGGCGGAUGCGCAAGUUGGGGGUGAAAUCCCGGGGCUUAACCUCGGAAUUGCCCUCAAAACUGCACGUCUUGAGACCGAGAGAGGUAAGGGGAAUUCCUAGUGUAGAGGUGAAAUUCGUAGAUAUUAGGAAGAACACCAGUGGCGAAGGCGCCUUACUGGCUCGGUACUGACGCUGAGGUACGAAAGCGUGGGGAGCAAACA
rnacentral:rRNA from 1 species